rnacentral:rRNA from 1 species
UAUUGGGCAAUGGGCGCAAGCCUGACCCAGCAACGCCGCGUGAAGGAAGAAGGCUUUCGGGUUGUAAACUUCUUUUAAGAGGGAAGAGCAGAAGACGGUACCUCUUGAAUAAGCCACGGCUAACUACGUGCCAGCAGCCGCGGUAAUACGUAGGUGGCAAGCGUUAUCCGGAUUUACUGGGUGUAAAGGGCGUGUAGGCGGGAAAGCAAGUCAGAUGUGAAAACCACGGGCUCAACCUGUGGCCUGCAUUUGAAACUGUUUUUCUUGAGUACUGGAGAGGCAGACGGAAUUCCUAGUGUAGCGGUGAAAUGCGUAGAUAUUAGGAGGAACACCAGUGACGAAGGCGGUCUGCUGGACAGCAACUGACGCUGAGGCGCGAAAGCGUGGGGAGCAAACAGG